CGAGCGGCGAACGGGUGAGUAACGCGUGGAUUAUCUGCCCUGAGGUGGGGGAUAACCCGGGGAAACUCGGGCUAAUACCGCAUAAUACCGAGAGGUCAAAGGGGGCCGCAAGGCUCUCGCCAUGGGAGGAGUCCGCGUUCGAUUAGCUAGUUGGUAGGGUAAUGGCCUACCAAGGCGACGAUCGAUAGCCGGCCUGAGAGGGUGAUCGGCCACACUGGAACUGAGACACGGUCCAG
rnacentral:rRNA from 1 species